AUACGUAGGUGGCAAGCGUUGUCCGGAAUUAUUGGGCGUAAAGCGCAUGUAGGCGGUUUGGUAAGUCGGUCGUGAAAAUGCGGUGCUUAACGCUGUAUGGCGAUCGAAUCUGCUGAACUUGAGUGCUGGAGAGGAAAGGGGAACUCCCAGUGUAGCGGGGAAAUGCGUAAAUAUUGGGAAGAACACCGGUGGGGAAGGCGCCUUUCUGGACUUUGUCUGACACUCAGAGGCGAAAGCCAGGGGAGAGAACGGGAUUAGAUACCCCGGUGUACCCGGCCGUGAACAAUGGGUACGAGAUGUGGGAGGUUGCGACUCGUUCCGUGCCGGAGUUAACGCAAUAAGUACCCCGCCUGGGGAGUACGGCCGCAAGGCUUAAACUCAAAGGAAUUGACGGGG
rnacentral:rRNA from 1 species